rnacentral:ribozyme from 1 species
AAUUGUUCAGCAGCCUCCUCAAGUACAGCACGUUGAAACAUUUUCCGCUUACGUGCAAUAGAAUACCAAGCUCUCAUUGUAUUAUAUAGCUUUAUAUUAA